rnacentral:rRNA from 1 species
UACGGAGGAUGCGAGCGUUAUCCGGAUUUAUUGGGUUUAAAGGGUGCGUAGGCGGACGCUUAAGUCAGCGGUAAAAUUGCGGGGCUCAACCUCGUCGAGCCGUUGAAACUGGGUGCCUUGAGUGGGCGAGGAGUACGCGGAAUGCGUGGUGUAGCGGUGAAAUGCAUAGAUAUCACGCAGAACUCCGAUUGCGAAGGCAGCGUACCGGCGCCCAACUGACGCUGAAGCACGAAGGCGUGGGUAUCGAACAGG